AAGUCGUAACAAGGUUUCCGUAGGUGAACCUGCGGAAGGAUCAUUAACAAAUCAUGUAGUCACUUAUUAAUUUGAGUGACUAUAAGUGCGGUGCAGCAAUGCACUGUAUAUUUGCGCUUGUAUGUUUGACCGAGUAAUGUUACUAUUAUAAAGAGACAACUUUUAACAAUGGAUCUCUUGGCUCUU
rnacentral:misc_RNA from 1 species